AGCCGAACAGCUAGCCUACAACCACCUACAACAAAAACCUAUUAAUAACCCGCAAAACACUUAACUAGCGAAAUAAACCAUUUUCCCUCUUUAGUAUAGGAGAUAGAAAAAGACACCUGAGCCAUAGAAAAUGUACCGCAAGGGAACGCUGAAAGAGAGCUGAAACAGCCCAGUAAAGCUAAAAAAAGCAGAGAUUCGACCUCGUACCUUUUGCAUCAUGAUUUAGCAAGUAACCCUAAGCAAAAAGAAUUUUAGUUUCGGCUCCCGAAACCAAGUGAGCUACUCCAAGACAGCCUAUUUACAGGGCAAACUCUUCUCUGUUGCAAAAGAGUGAGGAGAGCUUUGAGUAGAGGUGACAAGCCUAUCGAACUCGGUUAUAGCUGGUUGCCUGAGAACUGAAUAGAAGUUCAGCCCUUUGCUUUCUUUAUUCCAUUAAUCCUUAGACAGAUGAGAAGAAAGCAGAGGAGUUAGUCAUAGGAGGUACAGCCCCUGUGACACAAGACACAACUUUACCAGGAGGACAAAGAUCAUACUUUUUAUAAGGCUUAGUAUUCAGGUGGGCCCAGAAGCAGCCACCCUCAGAGAAAGCGUUAAAGCUCGAACACAGACCUUUCCCCCCAAUAAUGAUAAUCCAUCUGAGCCCCCUACCCCUACCAGGCCCCCCCAUGCACACAUGGGGCAGAUAAUGCUAAUAUGAGUAAUAAGAAAGGAAAGACUUUCUCCUAGCACAAGUGUACAUCGGAACGAACCCCCACCGAAAAUUAAAGGCCCCAAGCACAGAGGGAAAUGAAAAAAACAUUACUAACAAGAAACACACUCAACACUUACCUUUAACCCCACACUGGUGUGCCCACUCGGAAAACUAAAAGAGAAAGAAGGAACUCGGCAAACAUAAGCCUCGCCUGUUUACCAAAAACACCGCCUCUUGGUCUAUGCAUAUAAGAGGUCCUGCCUGCCCGGUGACCAUGCGUUCAACGGCCGCGGUAUCUUAACCGUGCAAAGGUAGCGUAAUCACUUGUCCCUUAAAUAGGGGCCUGUAUGAAUGGCAAGACGAGGGCUUAACUGUCUCCUUCCUCCAGUUAAUGAAAUUGACCUUCCCGUGCAGAGGCGGGAAUAACCCCAUAAGACGAGAAGACCCUGUGGAGCUUAAGGCGCCAGUGCUGCUCACAUAGAAAACUCUAGCUAACAGACGCUACUUUAUGAAACCAGCCCCAAUGCCUUCGGUUGGGGCGACCCUGGAGAAACGAGAACCCUCCAUGCAGAAAAGGACUACCAGUCUUAGAAACAAGAACCCCCAUUCUAGCCAACAGAACCUCUGACUCAACGAUCCGGCCAAGGCCGAUUAACGAACCAAGUUACCCCAGGGAUAACAGCGCAAUCCCCUUAUAGAGCCCGUAUCGACAAGGGGGCUUACGACCUCGAUGUUGGAUCAGGAUAUCCUAAUGGUGCAGCCGCUAUUAAGGGUUCGUUUGUUCAACGAUUAAAAUCCUACGUGAUCUGAGUUCAGACCGGAGAAAUCCAGGUCGGUUUCUAUCUAUGACGUGAUUUAUCUUAGUACGAAAGGAUUGGAAAAAUAAGGCCCCUGCCUAAGGCACGCCUUCUUCUCACUUACUGCCCUCAACUCAAGUAGACAAAAGGACACACUAAAUAAGCCCCAGAACAUGGCC
rnacentral:rRNA from 1 species